rnacentral:rRNA from 1 species
AGCAGCCGCGGUAAUUCCAGCUCCAAUAGCGUAUAUUAAAGUUGUUGCAGUUAAAAAGCUCGUAGUUGAAUUUCGGGAUCAAUACGUCGGUCGUGCUUCGGUACGUACUGGCGUAAUUGAUUUCUCCCUUCUGACGAACCAUGAUGUCAUUAACUUGGUGUCAUGGGAAAUCAGGACUGUUACUUUGAAAAAUUAGAGUGUUUAAAGCAGGCUCACGCUUGAAUACAUUAGCAUGGAAUAAUGAAAUAGGACGUUCGAUCCUAUUUUGUUGGUUUUUAGGAUCAACGUAAUGAUUAAUAGGGAUA